UACGUAGGGGGCUAGCGUUGUCCGGAAUCAUUGGGCGUAAAGAGCUCGUAGGCGGUUUGUCACGUCUGCUGUGAAAACUGGAGGCUCAACCUCCAGCCUGCAGUGGGUACGGGCAGACUAGAGUGCGGUAGGGGAGAUUGGAAUUCCUGGUGUAGCGGUGGAAUGCGCAGAUAUCAGGAGGAACACCGAUGGCGAAGGCAGAUCUCUGGGCCGUAACUGACGCUGAGGAGCGAAAGCAUGGGGAGCGAACAGG
rnacentral:rRNA from 1 species